AUUGAACGCUGGCGGCAUGCCUUACACAUGCAAGUCGAACGGCAGCACGGGGGCAACCCUGGUGGCGAGUGGCGAACGGGUGAGUAAUACAUCGGAACGUGCCCAGUAGUGGGGGAUAGCCCGGCGGAAGCCGGAUUAAUACCGCAUACGACCUAUGGGUGAAAGCGGGGGAUCGCAAGACCUCGCGCUACCGGAGCGGCCGAUGUCAGAUUAGGUUGUUGGUGGGGUAAAAGCCUACCAAGCCGACGAUCUGUAGCUGGUCUGAGAGGACGACCAGCCACACUGGGACUGAGACACGGCCCAGACUCCUACGGGAGGCAGCAGUGGGGAAUUUUGGACAAUGGGCGCAAGCCUGAUCCAGCCAUGCCGCGUGCGGGAAGAAGGCCUUCUGGUUGUAAACCGCUUUUGUCGGGGAAGAAACGCUCCGGGCCAAUACCCCAGAGUAAUGACGGUACCCGAAGAAUAAGC
rnacentral:rRNA from 1 species